rnacentral:rRNA from 1 species
AGUGAACGCUGGCGGCAGGCCUAACACAUGCAAGUCGAACGGCAGCACAGGAGAGCUUGCUCUCUGGGUGGCGAGUGGCGGACGGGUGAGGAAUACAUCGGAAUCUACCUUUUCGUGGGGGAUAACGUAGGGAAACUUACGCUAAUACCGCAUACGACCUUAGGGUGAAAGCGGAGGACCUUCGGGCUUCGCGCGGAUAGAUGAGCCGAUGUCGGAUUAGCUAGUUGGCGGGGUAAAGGCCCACCAAGGCGACGAUCCGUAGCUGGUCUGAGGAGAUGAUCAGCCACACUGGAACUGAGACACGGUCCAGACUCCUACGGGAGUCAGCAGUGGGGAAUAUUGGACAAUGGGCGCAAGCCUGAGCCAGCCAUGCCGCGUGGGUGAAGAAGGCCUUCGGGUUGUAAAGCCCUUUUGUUGGGAAAGAAAAGCAGCCGGUUAAUACCCGGUUGUUCUGACGGUACCCAAAGAAUAAGCACCGGCUAACUUCGUGCCAGCAGCCGCGGUAA